GAUGAAGAACGCAGCGAAAUGCGAUAAGUAAUGUGAAUUGCAGAAUUCAGUGAAUCAUCGAAUCUUUGAACGCACAUUGCGCCCGCGAGUAUUCUCGCGGGCAUGCCUGUCCGAGCGUCAUUUCAACCCUCAGGGCCCGCCUGCUUCGGCAGGCGCGGCGCUGGUGUUGGGGAUCGGCCUAACCGCCGUCCCCCAAAUACAGUGGCGGUCUCGCUGCAGCCUCCCCUGCGUAGUAGCAACACUCGCAUGCGGAGCGCGGCGCGGACACGCCGUAAAACCCCCGACUUUCUGAACGUUGACCUCGGAUCAGGUAGGAAUACCCGCUGAACUUAAGCAUAUCAAUAAGCGGAGGA
rnacentral:misc_RNA from 1 species